rnacentral:tRNA from 1 species
GCGGGCGUCGCCAAGUGGUAAGGCAACGGCCUUCCAAGCCGUCACUCGCGGGUUCGAGUCCCGUCGCCCGCU